CUGCAGAGGCCUCCGGCGCAAUGUAAGUCGUUCUUGUCUAAACCUGUGGACUGUAACUCCUUUAAGUGUAAACAUUUUGUUCCUUCACCUCCAUCACCUUCACCAUUUCCUUCACCUACAGCACCGGUAACACCUUCUCCAUCACCUUCUACGCCUUCACCAUUUCCUUCACCUACAACACCGGUAACACCACCUUCACCCUCACAUUCCCCUCCAUCACCUUCUACGCCUUCACCUACAACACCGGUUACACCUUCUCCCUCACAUUCACCUCCAUCACCUGCUACACCUUCACCAUUUCCUUCACCUACAACACCGGUAACACCUUCACCCUCACAUUCCCCUCCAUCACCUGCUACACCUUCACCAUUUCCUUCACCUACAACACCGGUAACACCUUCACCCUCACAUUCCCCUCCGUCACCUGCUACACCUACAACACCGGUAACACCUUCACCUUCACAUUCCCCUCCGUCACCUGCUACACCUUCACCAUUUCCUUCACCUACAACACCGGUAACACCUUCACCUUCACAUUCCCCUCCGUCACCUGCUACACCUUCACCAUUUCCUUCACCUACAACUCCUGUAACACCUUCACCUCCAUCGCCUUCUACUCCUUCACCCUUUCCUUCACCUACGACACCUGUGACACCUUCACCUGUUCAUAGUCCUCCUUCUCCAGUGUAUUUGCCACCGCCACAUUCUUCCCCUACACCACCUGCUCAUAAUUACGGCUCUCCGCCACCCCAUCACUCACCCGCUCAACCUGUUUAUCCUUAUUUAUCACCGCCACCUCCUCCCUCUGUCCAUUCUUCACCUCCAC
rnacentral:lncRNA from 1 species